rnacentral:rRNA from 1 species
UACGUAGGUGGCAAGCGUUGUCCGGAGUUAUUGGGCGUAAAGCGCGCGCAGGCGGUGCGGUAAGUCUCUGGUGAAAGCGAUCGGCUUAACUGGGCGAGGGCCGGGGAGACUGCCACGCUGGAGGGGAGCAGAGGCGAGUGGAAUUCCGGGUGUAGUGGUGAAAUGCGUAGAGAUCCGGAGGAACACCAGUGGCGAAGGCGGCUCGCUGGGCUCUACCUGACGCUGAGGCGCGAAAGCGUGGGGAGCGAACCGG